AAGUGGGCAAGUUGCAAGUGUGAAGUGUUGGAGAAGCUAGAUUAGUAGCUUAGUGAGCAAGUUUAAGCUUUAAACAAAACAUCUCUCUCUCUCUUCUCUCCCCCUCAUUUCGAUCUCUCUCGCCCUCUCUCCUUCUCACUUUCUUUUCUCUCUCUACCACCAUUGAUGGUCAUUACCAAGCUCCAAGAAUCAUUCUAAUACUUAAAUCUAUCCUAAAUCAAACUCUAAACAUCCAUUUCUUUUGAAUCAAGCCAAGAUUGGAAGAGUUUAUCAAGGUUGAAGUCAAAGAAAGAUUUUUAUUAUUUUCAAAUCCUUGAAAACGAGCAGAGGACGAAAAUCAGUUACGUCAAGUAUCGAGGAAAGUAAGCUAAAGACUUCAGGUGGGCAUUAUUUUAAUACCCCUAUUAUACAAGCUUUCUAAAAUGAAAUGAUGUUUAUGAGUUUGAUAAUGAUUUAAGUUAAUGUUAUGUUGAAACUAAUUGACUUGCCAAGUUUUAAUGAUAAGCUUGUAUGUUACCCUCUACUGGUGAGACAAAUUCGGUCCUGCCACAAGCGGGAUUUUGUGCACAAAGGUGACUAUGAGCCGUCGAUCGGGUCGGCCGGUCACGGUACUUGAGAGGGAGGCCUACUUCUCAGUACCUUUGAUGAUGAAUAGUAGAUAUGACACAUGCAUGAUGAAUGUUUAAACUGCGCAGUUACUUUAUUGUGAUGUUAUGGCUUGUGAAAUUGCUUGCACGGGUUUGUUUAUACUAAAAUCUCUGUGUGAUGCUUAUAUUGUGGCAAGUCAAUUUAUAGCUCUAAGAGCAAGCUUUCAUUAUUUUUCGGUUUAUGUCCACUGAGUAUUCUGUACUCAGUCCUGCAUGUAUUUCUAAACGUGCAAGGAGGGAGAUUGGUUUGGUGCUGGUGGGGGCUUGUUUCGGACGAUGUUAUCCUUUUAUCGUAUUUCUAUUUCAUACGGUAACAUUUUGGCGUUGGAGUUAUAUUUUGGACUUAGUCAAGAAGUAUACUAUCGGCUAUAUGUCUUCAUACAUAUAGUCUGUUCACGUUUUGCUGCGAGACUUUGUAAAUUAGAACCUUUGUGAAUAUUUAACUAUGUCCGCUUUGUAAACUUUGUCGAGAAUCCUAAUACAUUUGAACUUAUGAACCCGAUAAUACUUAUGUCUUUGAGAUGAUGUUAUUGUUAA